AAGCCUCUGGGUAUAACGGCCACCUGAGCCAAACCACAAGGACCAGAGGGACUCACUACCACCAUGGAAACCUACAGAACAGAGGAGCUGGGUUCUCUGUCAAGUAAACAGUAUACAGAACAAGCAGGACAUAACACAGAGUUCAACAUGUAAGCUCUCAGCUUGCUGCUCGCUCCAACUGCCACGCUGCUGCUGGCUGCCAUACUGUUCCUGCCAUAAUGGACUCACAACCUCUGCAACCAUAAGCCCAAAGAAACUUUCUCCCAUAAGCAGGAAAGAGAAUAAGAAGAGAGUGAGGAGGAGAACGAAGUGGGAGGUGAAGAAACUGGAAACUGUGAAGAAGAACGAGGGGUGGAGAGCAAGUGAUGAGAGGGACAUCCGAGGAAAAACUCAAGGACUCUGACAACUGUGUCACGCACAGGUUUUCAUGGUCUGAAACUACAGGCUACGAACCAGGAAAGCAGGAUUUACAAAGUCUCCUCUAUUGAGCCAGAAAGUCCUGCUUUGCUGUGUGCUUCAAGCUCAAACUGGCCUCUGAGAACAGGUAGAACGCUGUUCAGGGAGCCGCCUCAGACACAAGGAGUGCUCUGCUGAGACCGUCAGCACCCUAACCAUGACUUCAUAGUAAUAUCCAAGAGUGAAUUCUACAGACCGGGUGCAAAGGCUUCCCUGGGCCUGCGUCGUACCUCAUAUUCCUUGGAUAGGAGGUAGUUGGAGUCCGCCUGCAGCUUCAUGAAAUGCCCUUCAAACUGAUUUAUCUUUAUGGGGCUGUAAUUAGAAACAAAAGGAAAGGAAAAGAAAGUUACUGAAGAAAGAGAGAACGUGCUAUCACCAGCCUGGGUUGUGUUUCAAAAGCAGAUUCAUUAAUGCGUUUUCUCUUACCAAGAAGUUUUCCGGUUGCUGUAAGACAGACAAAAAAGAAAAGAGGGGCCUUGUUAGCAAAUCUCGCAGAAUGCCAUCUUUCAGUAAACCAAGCAAAGGAGACUUUGGCACUUACCCUUUCUGGCCCAGAUUCAAAUGGACAGACAAAGGCCGAUCCCUGUGAAUGCUCAGGCGGGCAGAUGGCCUUUCCCGGCCAUGGCUAAAACAUAGGACACAGAUUUCUUUAUUCUAAUUAUGUUACUUGGCUUGUACAAGGCGCUCCCCUCCCCCGUUUAUGGUAAGGCUGUGCACACUUGGGCAAAUGUGGAAUUUUCAGAUUCCAUGGAAGCCUGCCCUCAGCCAACAUCUCUUUGGGGGAGGAAGCAGAGACGGAACAACAUAAUAAAGUCAUCCUGCCCACUCAGGAACACAUCUCCAGGAUAACUGAAAGAUUUGUCUCCUGACAUUUGGCUACAGGUCAUAAUUGCUUCCCACACUCAAUAAACUUUCCUUAAGAAAGUCCCCUAAAGCAGAAAACCUUGGAUGCCAGAUACAGCUGCAGGGGAAAAGACAAACUGGAAAAAAACCAGUGGCAGAAGAGGACCCGGUACUGGAAAGCACAGGCUGGCUUUCUCAUUUGUUUAGCUCUUUCUGAAAUUAGGGUGGCUGGUAAAUCUCAAGAUGCUCAUGCCAGUCAUACUUUUUAGGGUAUUUCAGAAAAGCACACAGGUAUACAGUUUGGAAAAGCCUGUCUUCAUGAGGAUAUGCACCUCAAUUGUUUUGCCUGUGCAGGAGGAUUUUUUUUUCCCAUAAGCAAAGAGAUCUACCGAUGGCAUCUCAUUUGUUGGUGAGGGCCCAGUUCAUCAACAUAGGAAACCCGGAGAACCGUGAGUCAUGGAUUCAGAGUUUGACUCUUGGUUUUACUGAGGAAACUACAGUGAUUUAACCUGGAGAAACAAAACCUCUUCCCCCCUUUCAGGCUAAAGGACAUUUUUUUUUGUAGCAACUCUACAUUUGUGAGCCUCAUCACUAAAGGCAUUUUACUUUGUACUCACUUGACUU